GACGAACGCUGGCGGCGUGCUUAACACAUGCAAGUCGAACGGAAAGGCCCUGCUUGCCGAGUACUCGAGUGGCGAACGGGUGAGUAACACGUGGGUGAUCUGCCCUGCACUUCGGGAUAAGCUUGGGAAACUGGGUCUAUUACCGGAUAGGAGCCAUCUUUAGUGUGGUGGUUGGAAAGUUUUUUCGGUGUAGGAUGAGCUCGCGGCCUAUCAGCUUGUUGGUGGGGUAAUGGCCUACCAAGGCGGCGACGGGUAGCCGGCCUGAGAGGGUGUACGGCCACAUUGGGACUGAGAUACGGCCCAGACUCCUACGGGAGGCAGCAGUGGGGAAUAUUGCACAAUGGGCGCAAGCCUGAUGCAGCGAGGCCGCGUGGGGGAUGAAGGCCUUCGGGUUGUAAACUCCUUUCGCUAGGGACGAAGCUUUGUUGUGACGGUACCUAGAUAAGAAGCACCGGCUAACUACGUG
rnacentral:rRNA from 1 species